rnacentral:rRNA from 1 species
CCUACGGGAGGCAGCAGUAGGGAAUAUUGCUCAAUGGGGGAAACCCUGAAGCAGCAACGCCGCGUGGAGGAUGACGGUUUUCGGAUUGUAAACUCCUUUUGUUAGAGAAGAUAAUGACGGUAUCUAACGAAUAAGCACCGUCUAACUCCGUGCCAGCAGCCGCGGUAAUACGGAGGGUGCAAGCGUUACUCGGAAUCACUGGGCGUAAAGAGCGCGUAGGCGGGAUAGCAAGUCAGAUGUGAAAUCCUAUGGCUUAACCAUAGAACUGCGUUUGAAACUGUUAUUCUAGAGUAUGGGAGAGGUAGGUGGAAUUCGUGGUGUAGGGGUAAAAUCCGUAGAGAUCAAGAAGAAUACUCAUUGCGAAGGCGGCCUGCUAGAACAUAACUGACGCUGAUGCGCGAAAGCGUGGGGAGCGAACAGGAUUAGAUACCCCAGUAGUC